rnacentral:rRNA from 1 species
AUUGAACGCUGGCGGCAGGCCUAACACAUGCAAGUCGCACGAGUGGAGGAAGGGUGAGUAAUGUCUGGGAAACUGCCUGAUGGAGGGGGAUAACUACGGGAAACGGUAGCUAAUACCGCUUACCAUCAGAUGGGCUCAGAUGGGAUUAGCUAGUGGGUGGGGUAACGGCUCACCAAGGCGUAGAUCCCUAGCUGGUCUGAGAGGAUGACCAGCCACACUGGAACUGAGACACGGUCCAGACUCCUACGGGAGGCAGCAGUGGGGAAUAUUGCACAAUGGGCGCAAGCCUGAUGCAGCCAUGCCGCGUGUAUGAAGAAGGCCUUCGGGUUGUAAAGUACUUUCAGCGGGGAGGCGUUACCCGCAGAAGAAGCACCGGCUAACUCCGUGCCAGCAGCCGCGGUAAUUC